GGCGCUGUGGCUCAGUGGUAGAGCGCUUGCCUCACAUGCAUGAGGCCCUGGCAUCAACUCCUCAGCACCA
rnacentral:tRNA from 1 species